rnacentral:rRNA from 1 species
UACGUAGGGUGCGAGCGUUGUCCGGAAUUAUUGGGCGUAAAGAGCUUGUAGGCGGUCUGUCGCGUCUGCUGUGAAAAUCCGGGGCUCAACCCCGGACUUGCAGUGGGUACGGGCAGACUAGAGUGUGGUAGGGGAGACUGGAAUUCCUGGUGUAGCGGUGGAAUGCGCAGAUAUCAGGAGGAACACCGAUGGCGAAGGCAGGUCACUGGGCAGCAACUGACGCUGAGGAGCGAAAGCAUGGGGAGCGAACAGG